rnacentral:rRNA from 1 species
GAUGAACGCUGGCGGCGUGCCUAAUACAUGCAAGUCGAGCGAACAGACGAGGAUCUUGCUUCUCUGACGUUAGCGGCGGACGGGUGAGUAACACGUGGAUAACCUACCUAUAAGACUGACAUAACUUCGGGAAACCUGAGCUAACACCCGAUAAUAUAGUGAACCGCAUGGUUCAAUAGAGAAAGACGGAUUUGCUGUCACUUAUAGAUGGAUCCGCGCCGCAUUAGCUAGUUGGUAAGGUAACGGCUUACCAAGGCAACGAUGCGUAGCCGAUCUGAGAGGGUGAUCAGCCACACUGGAACUGAGACACGGUCCAGACUCCUACGGGAGGCAGCAGUAGGGAAUCUUCCGCAAUGGGCGAAAGCUUGACGGAGCAACGCCGCGUGAGUGAUGAAGGUCUUCGGAUCGUAAAGCUCUUUUAGUAGGGAAGAACAAAUGUGUAAGUAAAUAUGCACGUCUUGACGGUACCUACUCAGAAAGCCACGGCUAACUACGUG